rnacentral:rRNA from 1 species
ACGGGUGAGUAACGCGUAGGAAUCUACCUAGUAGUGGGGGACAACGUCUCGAAAGGGACGCUAAUACCGCAUACGCCCUACGGGGGAAAGGGGGGGAUCUUCGGACCUCUCGCUAUUAGAUGAGCCUGCGUCGGAUUAGCUAGUUGGUGGGGUAAAGGCCUACCAAGGCAACGAUCCGUAGCUGGUCUGAGAGGAUGAUCAGCCACACCGGAACUGAGACACGGUCCGGACUCCUACGGGAGGCAGCAGUGGGGAAUAUUGGACAAUGGGGGCAACCCUGAUCCAGCCAUGCCGCGUGUGUGAAGAAGGCCUUCGGGUUGUAAAGCACUUUAGGGGGGGAGGAAGGUCCCAAAGCGAAUACCUUUGGGAAUUGACGUUACCCCCAGAAUAAGCACCGGCUAACUCCGUGCCAGCAGCCGCGGUAAUGCGGAGGGUGCAAGCGUUAAUCGGAAUUACUGGGCGUAAAGCGCGCGUAGGCGGUUAGGUAAGUCGAUUGUGAAAUCCCCGGGCUCAACCUGGGAAUUGCAGUCGAGACUGUCUGACUAGAGUGUAGGAGAGGGUGGUGGAAUUCCCGGUGUAGCGGUGAAAUGCGUA